CCUACGGGGGGCAGCAGUGGGGAAUAUUGGACAAUGGGCGAAAGCCUGAUCCAGCAAUGCCGCGUGAGUGAUGAAGGCCUUAGGGUUGUAAAGCUCUUUUACCAGGGAUGAUAAUGACAGUACCUGGAGAAUAAGCUCCGGCUAACUCCGUGCCAGCAGCCGCGGUAAUACGGAGGGAGCUAGCGUUGUUCGGAAUUACUGGGCGUAAAGCGUGCGUAGGCGGUGAUUCAAGUCAGAGGUGAAAGCCUGGAGCUCAACUCCAGAACGGCCUUUGAAACUAGAUCGCUAGAAUUAUGGAGAGGUAAGUGGAAUUCCGAGUGUAGAGGUGAAAUUCGUAGAUAUUCGGAAGAACACCAGUGGCGAAGGCGACUUACUGGACAUAUAUUGACGCUGAGGUACGAAAGCGUGGGGAGCAAACAGGAUUAGAUACCCGGGUAGUC
rnacentral:rRNA from 1 species